rnacentral:rRNA from 1 species
AUUGAACGCUGGCGGCAGACUUAACACAUGCAAGUCGAGCGAGCGGCGGACGGGUGAGUCAUGUCUGGGAAACUGACUGAUGGAGGGGGCUAACUACUGGAAACGGUAGCUAAUACCGCAUACCAUCAGAUGUGCCCAGAUGGGUUUAGCUAGUAGGUGGGGUAAUGGCUAACCUAGGCGACGAUCUCUAGCUGGUCUGAGAGGAUGACCAGCCACACUGGGACUGAGACACGGCCCAGACUCCUACGGGAGGCAGCAGGGGGGAAUAUUGCGCAAUGGGGGAAACCCUGACGCAGCCAUGCCGCGUGAAUGAAGAAGGCCUUCGGGUUGUAAAGUUCUUUCGGUAGCGAGGCGUUAACUACAGAAGAAGCACCGGCUAACUCCGUGCCAGCAGCCGCGGUAAUUC